rnacentral:rRNA from 1 species
AGCGAACGCUGGCGGCAGGCUUAACACAUGCAAGUCGAACGGGCACUUCGGUGCUAGUGGCAGACGGGUGAGUAACGCGUGGGAACGUGCCUUUCGGUUCGGAAUAAUCCAGGGAAACUUGGACUAAUACCGGAUACGCCCUUCGGGGGAAAGAUUUAUCGCCGAAAGACCGGCCCGCGUCUGAUUAGCUAGUUGGUGAGGUAAAGGCUCACCAAGGCGACGAUCAGUAGCUGGUCUGAGAGGAUGAUCAGCCACAUUGGGACUGAGACACGGCCCAAACUCCUACGGGAGGCAGCAGUGGGGAAUAUUGGACAAUGGGCGCAAGCCUGAUCCAGCCAUGCCGCGUGAGUGAUGAAGGCCUUAGGGUUGUAAAGCUCUUUUGUCCGGGAAGAUAAUGACUGUACCGGAAUAAGAAGCACCGGCUAACUACGUGCCAGCAGCCGCCGUAACAC